UGAGCCGUGAGUACCGGGGACUUUUACGUUGAUAAAUUUGGCUCUGGGAGGUGACGUUGGUGUCUUUUUCCGUCCUGCUGGGAGUAAAAACGCUGGCUGGGAACAUUAUCCGGGAGGUUUGGUGCUUUUAGUCACGUCUAUGUUGGAACUGCACUCUGCUGUGAUUUACUUUCACUUCAGCGCGUUUAGCCACUGUAUCUGCGCUUGUGGUACCACUUUUUCGUGAAUUGGCGUUUCGCCUCAUCACUUGGGCCCUAUUGUAGACCUGCUUGGCUGUUACUAAAUCGUUGGGUUUGGAGUGGCCGGGGGGCUGGCUUGUGUGGGUUUGACCGCAGUCAGUGAAAGUGUGUGGUCUUAGUGUGAUGUGACCGACACGUGGGUUUAUGCCGGGGAUUGUAAUGCAGCCACGGGGGGUUGCUGUUUUGUCGCCGUAGAGAUUGUGCUAUUUCCGGUUUACUGCCCAUUCUACUUUGGACUGCUGAUUAUUUGAUUUGAUUUUUGUUGUUUUGGUUAAUUUUGUUUUGUUUAUUUUAUUGUCUUCUCUGGCUUUUUGUCUGGAGCUGGGGCACCAGUCUCCUGUUUGUGUAUUUGUGAGGUUUUGUGUGUGUGUGUGUGUGUGUGUGUGUGUGUGUGUGUGUGUGUGUGUGUGUGUGUGUGUGUGGUUGUGAGUGUCUUACCCUAUAUGAGAAGUCGACUCACCUUAGGCCAAGUUGAAUACAAGGGAAGGAAUGUGCAGAAAACUGUAAACCUGAUAAUGUCGACGCUUACACAUCAUUACAACCGCGUCAAAAAAACAAACACAAAACAAUGUAGAAGACUACAGCAUCCCUAAAUGUCAUACUUGCAUGAAUGAUAGCCUAAUACGUUAGUAUCCGGUCUUUUCCAGGUGUGAAAAAUGACUUACCGGCAGUGAGACACGCUCUCCUUAGCCUUGACAAGAUGGGACACCAGCCACGUCGCUGCUCUCGAAAAAAAGGUUCUUGGGGGUGCUAUAUAGAACCCUGUGAGUUCAAUUCAGGGAAAAUGGAACCUUUUCCAGUGAAAGGUGCUAUUUUAGGCACGUGAAGAUUUAUUUGAUUUCCAACGAACCUUUCCAACAGCAACCAUUCACUUCAAGCGUUCAUUGGAAACAUGGUUGAUGCGUGGUCCACCCAUGAGGUCUGUCUGUGGCUGGAGCAGAAUUCUUUAAGCGAGGCUAAACAGAUCUUCUUUGAACAACAGAUUGAUGGGGAAACACUACUGGGACUAACAGAGCGGAUGGUAGAAAAACUGUUUCCCAUCAUGAAACACCAGGUCUUGUUUUUGAAAGAGUUGGAGAAGUUGCACAGCACAUCAGCACAAAAAUCCAAUCCAACAUGUGACACUACCUGUAGUCAAAUACUCAUCAACAAGCUCAUGUGUCAUGGCCAGCACUGUAUACCCUGCCUGUUAUGCCACCAGAGCUACAGGAAGCUCUACACAGAAAAGAUCCAUCUUUCAAAUAAAAGGAUAAAUCACACUUGAGAGCAUUGUUAAUACAAGUUCUAUUUGACCACAUAACGUACACAUGGUACCCUAACCAUAAAAAAUACACCGAUGUUCUCGGAUGUCUGAUCACCAGAUUUCCCUUUUUGAGAGACCACAGCAGCACUGGAUAUGAUACCUUGCUGGAGUGCUUAAGGAACAAGUUUAAAAAGGAAAGGUCUCCCUUGGUGAACUUCCCAAAAGUUAUGGAGAUGAAGAGGAAGUUUGGGACAAAGAAACAGCGAAGUGUAGACCAUGAGUCUCUGGAGGACUCACCUGCAUAUCAGAGGGCAAAGAGACGCAGGACAGAAGCAAUCCAGGCAUGUUGGGGGAGCUUGGAUCCAACACAAGAGAUUGUAGUGGAACUUGAGUGUUGGGGAGGAUGACCUGAGUUUUCAGGAACAUCUAAAUGCGAUUAAUAAUGAGCUAUGCCGGCGACAGUCAGAUCUAACACAAAUCAUGGAUAGGAUGAAGCGCACUCUUUUUAUAAAAGGGUUGAAGUCACGGCCAAGCCAACAGGCAAAGUCAUGCAGAUGUUCCCCUUUUUUCAGAUUCCCGAACUGUUGCAUUAUGAAAUGAGGCUGCGGUUCGGUCAGGACAUGGAGCUAAAUCUCCAGAAUGCCCUCACGACAAUCACGCCAAACAUCAGGGCGGCUCAGCAGGGGAACCACAAGGAACAACUGACCACCUGGCUGACAGAGGCCACCACAGAUGAUCAUCUGAAGAGUGCUGCCAUCCUCAUCCUGCCAGAGCUCUUCAAAGAAAGAUCAAAGUUUUUCUACUGCUUGGAUGAGGAGCCAUGCAGCCUGUUUCCAGUCAUGGUCAUCGACAAUGCUGUGAAUCCCCUCCUAUGCUCCAACAUCUCGAUCAAGAUGGAUGGAGUCACUGUCACAAGUGGGGAGAUGGACAUCCCUCAUGCACUCCAAUGUCUUUUGGAAAUUUUUUAUUUUUGGUGUGGAGUACCCAAAGCAAAUCCGACACACCUUGAGUUUUGUGGAACAUUAUUUUUUUAAAAUUCAAAAUACCCCAGUUUCUAUUCCUGUCCUCAAACUGUAUAACCAAAUUUGUUCAUGAUUAUUUUUAAUUUGCAUGAUUUUACGUCUUCACAAUAAACAUGAAGACCUUAACAAUACCUAUAAUAAAUUAAAACCUUGAAUGUUUCGGAGGUGUAUAUUUGAAUAUGUAUGAGCGCUGUUUUAUUUAGCUUAGUAGUGAGUUUGUAUUUGUUC